AAUAGUUGAUCAUAGAUAAUAUGAAUUUUCCCUACAAAAAAAGUGAAGAGGCCAAAAUGUGCAGAAGCAACUUUUACCCUUCCCUGCCUGUCGGAGACUCAAGAAAGUCUUGAAAAAGAAAGACUUUUAACAGAGGUUGACAAAAGGCAAAAUGAAAGGUUUAUCAAGGAAAAAAUGGCUCUCACAUUUGCAUACAGGUGGCAAGGGGUAGUGACCAGGAGCCCAGUGUUAAGGACUUCAAGGCUAGGUGGCCUGCGCUUUUCAGACAUUCUGAGAUCAAUGCGGAGUUCCAUAGGCUUACAACUAUGGAAGACAUGUUCCUUGCUCAGCUCCAUGCAUACAUGGGUAAUCUAAUAGGAGUGAUCCGUUCAAGGGGAGGAGCAACCCGUGAGAAAAGACUGCUGCACUAAUUCAAGUUUUGGAUGAGACUGGAAACAUUCACAUCAGGAGGGACUGUGUGCUAAAGGCUCUUAUUUUUUUCCUGGGAGAAAAUCCUAAAGACCUAAUCAAAGAGUACGUUGACCAGGCAGAUGAUUGUGAAAGUGACCUUGCGCAGCUCACCAUUGCAGUGUACAUUGUUCGGAAGGAGGGAGGAGAAUUUCUUCAACCGCCUGACGACAUAUGCAUUGUGAUUGAGGGUGUGAAAGUUUUGAAUCAAGUGACUUCGGUCACAUCAGCUUGUGCACUUCUCAUGGGUAUGAUGUACGUAAUCAACUAGGUUUAUCCGAAACCCCUUCGAUUUACUUUCGAGGUCUUCCAGAAAGUUUUCUUGCAACUUGAUCAACACAAAAUGUCACACAGAGUUCAGAGUCUUUUUUUAGUAGAUAACAGUAAAUAUGUCACAUUGAAGCACUUCUCAUUUAAUGUUUAUUAUGAUUAUAUCUAUGGAUUGAUUCCAUGUAGCUCUGUGACUACUGUGCUGUUAUAAAGAGUAUGUCAUGAUGUUUUUGUAAUAUAUUUUUAUGAAUAUUUUAAAAGCUCAGUUGUGGGCAUAUAAUGUUUGGUGCAGUAUAAAAAAUGGAAUGGAUAAGUCAAUGUUAAUGAAAUGUUCAGUUUGUUUUAUUAACAAAUUUGCAGAGAAAACUCUUCUGUUACAUUUUUGCAAUGCAGAGAAUGCUGUCAUUGUGUAUGUUUUCAAUAAAUGAUAUUGUCAAAAGCAGCUUGAGUCUCUUGAUAAAAUUUGUUUUCAGGAAAAAUCACAAAUAAAAAAUAUAUUUUUUAGCAAUAAUUAAGUAUGAAUUUCAUGUUUGUAAUAAAAUAAACAUUGAAUACAUUUAAGCUGGAAUGCAGUAAAAUUAUGUUAGGGUAAUGUAAAUAUUAGGAUAGAAUGAAUGUAAUAAUGUGAGUUGACCUUGCGAUAUUAAGUUGGUCAAAAGCAAAAUAAUAAGUUGAAAAAACGUAAUUUUUUUAGGUGUUACCAAUUGAAGUAAUUUUUUAAAGUUGAUUCAACUGUGUGACUUUUUACAGUGUGCCUUUUAUGUGAAGGUGAUGUUAAAUUGAACGACAGACCCGCCGGAUCCGACAUGUUAAUUAAGCAAUGAAUGAUAUGCUCCCUGUUGUAACAUCCACCAGUCGUAAAAAGAAAAGUGGCAUCUAGUGCAGUGGUUCCCAAAGUGGGUGCCGCAACUGGCCAGGGGUGCCGCCGAAUCUCGGCUUUUUUCCAGUAAAAUAAUUUUUUUUUACAUCAUAUAUUUAAAAAUAUAUCAAAACACCAACAUAUUAGCAUGUCCAAACGAAACUGAAAAUACGCAACAAAAAAAACCACAUAUAUUUCAUACAUAUGUAAAGUUUAAAUAUUUUUUUACCGCCACUUGGACUGUUCCUAGGAGAGAAUAGGCUCGUUUGAGAUGGCCAAAUUCUGCGCAGAACCGAUCACCGGUGAUCAGCGCGAGAUGCAUGCCGGUAAGAAAUGUGUCCGAGUUACGUCCGCCUUGCUCUGACGUCAUGCUGACAUGUGUCAAAAAACUUGCGACGGCCAGGCGGCUGUAUCGGAUUCUUCAGUCAGGCGCAGUUGCUCUCCACCGACUACACUGAUGAAAAGCACGAUGGGAAACAACUUGCUGACGACACAGCUUAAAUGCUCAUUGGGCGAGAAUGUCAGCUGAUAUCUUUUUUCUUAAGUGUUCCAUUAAUAAGUCCAUUAACUGAAGUAGCCUAGGUUUUGAGAUCUAUAUGUGGAAAAAACACACCAAUGUGAAAUAUAUAGUCCUCAUAACCACCUUGAUGUAAAGCAGUGACAAUUCAAUUGCAUAGAUUUCAUCUGCGAUAAAAAGCGCUUUUUUAUUAACGUAUAACAAAAACAUUACAAAACAAGAUGGUAUACAGUUUACAUUCAAAAACAGAAGAGAAAAAAUAAUAAAAGAUAAAAAACAAUAAUAAAAAUAAUAAUAAAAAAAAACAACAAAGACAAAUAAGAAAGAAAAAAAAUCAAAAUGUUCAAUCCAUCCAUAUUAAUAAAUUCAAAACAAGAAAUAUAAUUUAUAUUAUCGAUUAAGUCUAACAAAACUCCAGCUUUUUAUUAUUUGCUUUUGACAGCAUUUUAAAAUAUUGUCCCAAAUAAUUCUUAAAUAUUAAAAAAAUACAUUUGGGAAUUAAAUUCUUAGCUAACAAAAGUAAGCAAUUAUUGCACUUUGUCCAGGAAUUAAAGAAAACUAUGCUAUGAAAAAAGGGUCUGUGUUUUCUGGAAAUGAGUUACAGAAUUUACACAAUAUAGGAACUCCCCAGAAGGAUAAAUAUCACAUACAAUUUUGAAAUGUAUUUUUUAGGGGGGGAUAAACUGGAAACUUUAAGUUUAGGAAAGUUUAAGCAUUCGUUUGUCAAAGAACAUAUCUAAAUUCUUUCGUACAGCCUUGACAUCGUUGAGAGUUUGUCUAAUAUACGAUUUCUCACUUUUAAACUCAGUUGGCCCAAGAAAAAUGCGAUAAAAAACGUGAACGAGAUCUAUUCCAUUGCUGACGUUUCCAGUCGACUCGACAGCGCGAUUUGGGAAGUGUCCGUCUUGCCUGCGCUGUUUUCACUCCUCCUCUUACUGCAGCCGCCUACUCUCGUCUCUUUAUCAGGCGAGGCAAGGUGCAUCUCAAACAAGCCUAUUGGCUCCGCUCAGCUCCGCCCAUUGUACUGAUGCGCGCUCAUGUGGGACACGCGUCCCAGCUGUCUCAGGUUGGUUCCACGAUUGCCUUGUCCCAACCCUAGUUUGAUUGCCCCCACUGCCCCCGCUGGACUGCGUUCAUAUUAUUAUUCUUGGGUCCGAACCAGGGGUCGUUUGCGUCAUCAAGCCUGCAGCUGUUUACCCUGUUGCUUGUAACGACAACACAGGAGAAGGCGGCAAAAUGCAUUACAGUGCUCGCUUCAUUUAUAUACAUAUGCUUUGUUUCCAAAGCUUCAGUACAUAAUGCCACUUUCGUCUAUGAAUGUACUGCAAAUGCUCUUAAGAACGCUGAAGGCGCAGAAAUGAGACAUACAGCACUCUGCUUGGAGCGCGUCAAUCACGCUCGUCAGAAAAGUAAGUGAAACAAGCAAACAUUUUUACCAAAUAAAAUGUAAUUAAUAGCGGUUCACUUUCGCGAUUUGGUACAAUUGCGUUCAUAUCAGCAACGAAGCUACUGGAGUUCACGUGAACUGCACCCAGACCUCCCUUUUUAAGCGGACUCGGGUACACUUCGUAGGUUCGCACCCGUCAUCGUGUUGUUGCCGUUUUCAACCUCCUACUUGUGUGAGCUAGCGUUCUCAUCCCUGGAGCACAUUAAAAUACCCCUAACACAGUUUCAUGCACAGGCAUUUUAGUUUCCUUUUUAAGUCGUAAGGUCAAGUUUGAACAAAGCAAAUAAGGACCUAAAGAAAAAUGUAAUGAGAGUUGUUUAUUAUUAUUUAAAGAAUUAAUUAUCAAUCUUUAUUCUAAUGUGUAUUGUUCCAACGUUUUCCACAUACAGCAAAUGGUUCAUAUCAGUCUAUAAGAUUUGUUUACACGUGUCAUGGAGUUGUAAAUGACAGAUGGUUAAUUUAAAUGAUUUGUUUCACCUCAUAUAAUGUCCAUUGUAAUGCAUUUGUAAUAAAUUCAUGCAGCUGUUUAUACUUCAUUUGUUGUUUGCUCAUCUGGAUUUAAUUUUAUAUAUGUAUGUACGCAUGUACAUUUAGUUUAAUCAAGGUUGGGGUGCCGUGGGAAAAAUAACACUACAAAGGGGUGCCUUGCUUUCAAAAAGUUUGGGAACCACUGAUCUAGUGGAUAGUAGUAGUAGCAAUAACAUUCACGUUAAUGAAUGUUCAGUGCUUGCGGAAAUAUGAAAGAAGAAAAUUGAUUCACAGCUUUUGAGAAUCUAUAUUGAAUCGACCGCAUAAAAAAAACGAUUCAUCGAUUUUAAGAUUUUUUUGCCCAGCCCUUUUUCACACCCUAUUUUUUCCACACAAAACAAGCGAUCUUAGAGCAAUAAUCGUCAUAGCAUGUCCUGUUUAAAACACCACCCUGGAACAGAAAUGUGCUCACGAUGUGGUGAUUGUAAAUUAAUUUGUACAAUAUACGAUUGUUAGAAAAAAGCAAGCAUGAAGGUUCACCCCUAACCAUGUGCCUAAACAGAACCAUACUGGGGCAAAAGCAGAUCGUACAAAAUAAGAAUUCACUAAAACUUUACAAACAAACUUUAUAAAAAAACAUUUACAAAUUGUCAUAACAUGCAUUACCAAUAAUUAGAAAAGGGCAGUGUUGGGAAGGUUACUUUGGAAAUGUAAUUGUUGUGAUCCUGGUCACGUGGGUUCUCUUCCUGUCACUACGUCUGUGUGUUUAGUGUCUGCGUCACUUACCUCGCCUUCGUGUUCCCGUUAGGCUUUUCCCUCACUUGUUUCUCAUUACCUCCUCACCCUGUUCACCUGUAGAUUUUCCCAACCAUCAUUAUUAUCGCUUUCUAUAAUUCCCCGCCACCUGUUGCUUGUUAGGUUUUCCUAUUUAGUCCCUCUUGUCCUCUUGUCUUGUGUCAGACCGUUUCAGUGUAAACCCUCUGAUCAGUUAGCUCUGCCAUCUCGGCUUUAUUUUCUAGUACUUUAUGCAAACCUUGUCCUGUCUAGUAGUUUCCUCAAAGUAUAUUAGUACCCAGUUUCUUAGAUUAACUCUUGUCCAUGUUCUCUCUAGUUGUUUGGUCCUGUAUUAUCUCUCUACUUCUUUCCAGUUCCCGUUGGCGUCCCGGCUUGCUUCACUCUCCACCCGCUGGCACCACUCCUAUCCACAGAUGUUUGCACCUCAGGUGGAGUCUCCUCUUCCGAGGGUCUGAGCCGUCCUUCGGCCGGGCAUCCACUCUCCUGUCCCAAGAGUUUCACCAGGUCCUACGCCUCUCCUGUGGUGGUAAACAACCUCUGCGGCGCUGCACUCAUCUCUCCGGUGGGUCGAGCCUCCCCUCACCGGCUGUCCCCUAGUCGCCGCUCUGGAGGUAGCGAUUUAACGUCCGCCGCACUGCAGUUCAUGACUCUCUGGAAUCCCUGGGACUUCUACGAACUAUUGCCGGUGUUUGCGUCUAGGAAUCUCUGAGGCUUUAACAGACUGUGUCUUGCUUUCAUGUUGACAGAAUCUCUUGGACUAAAAGACGAUUUGUAGCCUGUGUCGAAGCUUAAGGAAUCUCGAAACCAGACGUUCUGUGGUAUUUGUGUGUGCCUUAAUAAAUUCUAACAUUUUUCCCUGCAAUUGAGUCUACUCACCUUGUGUAUCAUGACAGUAAUAGGUUACAGAUUACUCUAUUUAAAAUGUAAUAAGUAGUGUAACUAUUUAAUUACUUUAACAAAGGUAAAGUAACUGAUUACAUUUUAUUACUUUUCUAAAUUUCUCACAAAUAUGAGAACUGUUUAUAAUUUUCAAAUAUUUAAACCAAGCGGGGUUAACUUUACAGUAGUACUCAAUACUCAAUAGUAUCAGACUUUCAAAAUCCUUCAUCACUUGAAUUAAGAUUAUACUAAACGAUAAACUAAUAUGAGUGAUUUGUCCACUAGGAGGCGCUUUAGGAUAACAUUCAUCAUAGGAAAAGUUUCAAACCCUCAAGAAGAUAUGAUACGCAAAUGUAAAUGUGUUUUAAUGUGUCUUAAAAUGCUACCUGUCUAUACGUUUAACUGCAGGUGACAAACAUGGUUCUGCUCAUCAUUUAACAAGAGGCAGAGCCUACAGAAAAGCUUUGUUAUAGAUUAGCGCUAGAGAGACUGUUUGAAUAAACCAGGCUAGAAACUGAAUUGAAAACUGAAUUCAUUUGAAACAACAGAAAAUGUUCUUGUUAUUUUGUAUAAAAAAGUAUAUAUUUUAUUUUUAUAGUGUUAUACAUGAAAGGAAAAUAAAAGGGCUUGUGUUGUUAAUACGUUCUUGCGAUGAAUCGUUCGUUCUUGCUGCGAACGGAUUUGAAAUGAUCCAGCGCUGUCUCAAGUAAUAGACAGAUAUGACGUUUUCUGAACUCAUCCACGGUUAGUUUAGUUUUAAACGUCUCAAAUAUCAAAUUGUUCAUCUUCAGGAUAAAAAAAUCUGUUAUAGCAAACAGCGAAUCGAAGUAAUGUGUGCUUUUAUUAAACAAAGAAUGGUUAAGUUACAGACCUGCAGAUGCUCCCUCAGGUUCGGCAUUGAAGCCUUCGAUGUCGAAUUUUUUUUAAUAGCAAACAUAUUUUGCACUGGACUGUUAUAGUUCCGCCCUUAUUGGAUUUCUAUAUGAAAUUAUUUUUAAAUUGCAAUAGAACAAAUUUUUAUCGUUCACCAUGCGGGAGGCAACUCUCAGACUGGUCGUAGCUUCAGCAGCAGUUUGGACUGAUAUGAUUGGCAGACGUGGCGCGCUGCAAAUUCAAACGAGAACUAAUCAAAAGCAUCAGAAUAGGCCUUGCAGGAGGCAUACAGAAAAUAUUCAAAUGUAACGCCCUUUGUAAUCAUUAACAUUUUUGUAAGUAACUAAUUUAAUUACAUCUUUUUCACAGUAACUGUAACGAAUUACAGUUACUUUGUAAUUAAAUUACGUAACGCCAUUACAUACUCCCCAACACUGGAAAAGGGGAAGUUAGAUUGGAAGAAAGAUGGAGAUGCAGAAGACAAAAACAAUGUCUGGGUGAAAUCUAAAUCCUCUUAGCUUUGUUAUACUGCCAGAUACUCUCAAACUUUACCAUCUGCCGUACAGACCCAACGGUCUGGGCUAAAUGUGGCACAACUCCCACGAUCUCUUCCCCUGACUCAUAACAGACUCUGUAAAUGGGUCUCUCUCUCCCUCUCUGAAACUCACUCACCCUCAUUUGCAUUUAAAAAGCAUAACAGUGCUAUUUAGCAAUCUGUCAUAAAAGCCUUGUACUGUAUCAGUGUGCAUGUUUAUUCCACCCUGGGCCCUGAACUCAAGAGAGAUUGUUUGAAUACACCAGGCUAGAAACUGAAUUGAAAACUGAAUUCAUUUGAACAACAGAAAAUGUGCGCAUGUUAUUUUGUAUAAAAAAAGUAGAUAUUUUAUUUUUAUAGUAUUGUACAGUAAAGGAAAAUAAACGUAUGUAAAUACGUUCUUGUGAUGAAUCGUUCAUUUGCUGUGAACGGAUUUGAAAUGAUAGUGUCCAAGAGGUGGAAAAGAAAGAAAGAGAGAGAAACUUUUGAUCUUGUUACCAUGUUUGUUUCAUGCUUAGCUUUUGGGGUUUAUUGAGCACAAUUAGCACCAGUCCUCAGAUACGCUGCAUUUGCUUUCAUGGAAAACCGGAAAAAAUAUCAAAUAUCAAACGCUCUCUGAAAUGUCAGAGUUAUUAUUUUGCCCUAAAAUGGCACACAGAACAUAUAAAGAUACUUCAAAUCAACAGCUAAACAGACUCGGGAUUUCAGUAUAGAAAAGUGUGAUGUUUGUUUCUGAUUGCGAAGCAUGAUUUCAAUUGGAGCAAGAGAUACAGGUAGAGAGACUUUGUUGUGUCAAAGAAAUGUGAUGUCACUUUGCUCAUAGCUGACUGGAUCAAUAUCUGCUUGUGAUCUGUUAUUGAGAACACAACCUGCCCUAGAACACCUUGACACUACUGUGCUGAAAAACAGAUGAGAGAGGGACAGAAAAUUCUGAGUUUACUCAAACCUAAACUUCCGUACAGUAGCAAGCCGCUUAAUACAUCUUAGAUAAAGGGCACGAGAAUAGAGUUUCAAGCCAAGUCAAUAUACAGUAGUCUUUUUUUGUAUUGUUUGAUGAGUUUUUCCACUUGUUUAAAGUAAGUCUAUAGAAAUCCUGCGUUUUUGCAUAGUUUUAUUUUGUUUUGUUUUAUUUGAUUUAUUCUUUUAUUGUAGUUACACAAGUUUUUUUGUUUUCCUUCAUCUUAAAAUAAACCUUGAGGAGUAGCUACAUGUUGAAAAGUUUAGGGCCGCUUACUCUCUAAUGCUGGGUUCACACCAAAUGCGAAUUAAGCAGUUUGCGCGAGUAAAUUACAUACAAAGUCAAUGCAAAGACGCGAACUCGUCAAUCUCGUCUUCCACACAAGUUGAAAAUAUUUGUCAGCUAGCGUCUUUCACGCGGAAAAAAAAACUUUUCCCGUGAGUAAUAAGGAGCGUGGAGCGCCAUUGUUCGCGUUUGGUGUGAACCCAGCAUUACUGUAUAUGGUAAUUAAAUGUGGAUUUAAUUUUUUUUUAGCAAUCUCAUAAAAAUUAUGCAAUAACACAAAUGUAAUGUCUUGAUGUUUUACCCUGGGAUACUUUUUGAACAAGAGCUCCCACCUAAUCUAGGUUAUAUUUGUAAGUAUAUAUUUAAGCAUUGAGUACACAGUCAGACAGGAUUUAAACUAUGCCGGCUAAAGACCUAAAAGUUUGGUUUAAAGACGAAAAACGUACCAAGCAGAAUGUUUUCUCACCAUUCCAUUUCACACGCAUACAGUGUUCAGCGCUGUCUCACAUAUGUCAAAGUAGAAAUAAAACCGCUGCUCUCUGUAUCUCCGGUCACGCUCAUAUGUACAUUGCAUGAACUUAUUCUGUCUAUUCGAAUGAAAUAUUUGAAAAAGCAAAUACAUUUACCCAGCCAUGUGUAAGCUUUUUCAGAUAUUUCGUGAAGAAAUCAGGACCAAAGUGGACAAAAUAGACGGAUUACAGCAGCAGGUGUAAAUGGGUAUGUGCCUCUUUUGUCCACCUGUGAUCCGAUCGACCAAAACGCAUCUUAAUACCAGGCAUAAACAUGGGCUUAUAAAGACUACAAUGAGCUGCAGCAGGGGACAGAAGAGCCACAUGCGGCUCGAGAGCCACGGGUUGCCAACCCCUGACCUACACAAUAAGUCUUAAAAAGACUAAAACAGACAGUUCAGACUGCUAAGAGGAUUACUGGUGCAGGACGUACAGUUUUUCAGAGUAAAGAACUGGGCAGAAAAAUCUAUAUACCCUAAACACGUCUCUUUGAACACCAGGGGCUGGUUGCACCAGCUGGACGUAAAAAAGUUGGGUUUAAGCCUAACAUAGGACUUAACUACGUCCAGACUUGCACCAUCUAAAACUACGACCAGGCGCAGCUACGCUUUACGCUCCGAUCAUACGGGGCAUCAGCAUUAACGCUUGGCGGAGGGCGUGUCUGAAGUGUGGCCGACACGAUCGUCAUAUACUGUAGUGACAACAGCCGGUUAAAUUGUUCUCCGGUCUUGCAUGAACGCAAUUGGCUAGUGCCUGCACUAGGUUAUUUGCAUAAGGUGAUCUGAUUGGCUGACGCCUGCGUUGGCGCUUGAAAAGUUGAGAAAUGUUCAACUUAUUGCCGCAAGCAAUGCCAGUGAAGCGACGCUGACGGACCAACAAGUCAGUUCAGCAAUGCAUGACGUCACCCAUUCAAAGUAAAUGAGAAGCGUUGAUGCUGACGCUCCGUGUGAAUCAUUAAUUUAAGAUUAAUGUGAUCAAUCAUUAAGAUAAAAAUAUUAGCAAAAUUAUAAGCUGAUGUCAAGGAAAAAAUAAGAAAAAUACGAUAAGAUUUGGGCCUUGUUUUAUGAUAUUACAUAAAUGCAAACAGGUAAAUAAAAUAAAUAAAUCAAUGCCAAAAUAAAUAUUGUGGGGACUCCACUUUAAAGGAUUUAAUUGAAACUCUGUGAUAGGCUUACAGGGGUGUGACAGAUUCAGAUGAGCAUAUCAAGAAUGUUAAUGUAACGGAGAAAAUCACUGGUUUGUGUCCUACUAAUCAAGAGUGAUGAAUGAAACUUAUUUACCAAAGCCACAGCUUAUAUCCAACAAAACACAUGCAGAAUAUCAAUGGAGGAGAUGGCACAAGAACGCUGUGCAAAUAAAACAAAAGAUUGAGAACAAAGAUUAUGUUUUUUCUGAAAUAUUAAAGGGAGAAUAAUACAAAGUUAAUCAGCGUGGCUAGAGAUAAAGAAGUGAGAUGAAAAGAAGAGGAAACAAUUACACAGAAGUAAUUGGUUUGAAAUAACAAAAAAAACUGAAAGUGUUUUAGCUAUUAUACAAAGCAACAUAAUGUGAAACGUGUAUUCUGAUGGUAGUAGGCCAAGUCAAAGAACACAGCUCAGUAAUCGGAUACGAUCUUUAUAAUCACACAAGCAGGGCUGGUGGAAAUUGUUUUUGCAGUUUAUAUUUACUUAAAAUCUAUCAAAUCUAUUUACUAUAAAAUCGUACUGAACUGUCGGUCACGAGCAGUGUUGGGUGUAACUAGUUACUAAGUAAUUAGUUACUGUAAUUUAAUUACUUUCCCCUUGAAAAUGUAAAGUAAGGGAUUACUCUUAUUUUUUGUAAUUUAAUUACCGUUACUUUUGAUAUAAUUAAACUAAAUACUUUGUGUAAUAUGUGUGUGCAAUAGUGGAAUUGACAUCAAAAUUCAAAGUCUAACUUUACAAUCUGUGCUUUAAUGUAUAAUUCUCACAUUUGUAAUACUUUGAUCAGUUAAUAAGAGUACUUUAUGUAGUUUAAUAUUAUUUAUUUUAAUUAAUUAAAAGAGCCUUUUCAAGCCUAUCCUUGAAUCACAUAACUAAUCAAGGUUGAUAUAGGAUAUAGAAAGUAAUAAGUAACUAAAUACUUUUUGGAGAGAGUAAUUUGUACAGUAAUCUAAUUACACUAUUGCAUAUGUAAUUAGUAACUAGUAAUUAAUUACUUUUUGAGAGUAACUUACCCAACACUGGUCACGAGACACACGAGAGCCAAUGCUUUUGCACAAAAGAAACUGACAUAUCUUGGCGGCAGAUUUUGAACGACUCUGUUCACCGGACCUGAGAUAUACGGCGGAUGGUGAUCGCUUUUGCAUCUGUUCCUCAUACUAAUCGAUCAUUUGGCUUUGAUACACUUAUUUGUAUAUUUGUAUUUUUUGAAUGACACUGUGACUGCUUGUAUCUUAUAUUUGUGUUUUAUAUUAUAUAAUAAAUAAACUGUUACGUUACUUGCUCAAACUGCCCGAAUAAUGUCAAGUAAACACAAUUAUCCUGGCGGUUAAACUGAAAAUCAGAAGUGGUUAAACUGAUAACACGUCAUCAUUGCAAAAUUACACCCCAAUAUAUAAUUUCAUUAUAAAGUAAAAUUUGUGUUUGCGUCUGCGUGUUGAUGGCAGUGGUUUAUCAUGCAAAGCAACGGAUUACCCUGCACGUCGAAACGACACCAAAGGGGUACCCCGCGCAUUGAAAAGAGACGCAGAGGCGCGCUGCCCGAACGUCAAUAUGUGACGAGUCGUGAGUAUAAAUGUGUUUGUUUUAUAUCAAAUAUCCGAUUCCAAACCUUUCGAUUCCAAUUCCAGAAUUUUUUCAGAUUUCCAACCCUAGUAAACGUUUGAUAUUAGCUAUGUUUCCAUCCACCCAUUUUUAUACACAUUUUGGGAUAUUGUAUAAAAAAAAUCACUGGAUGGAAGCACCAAGAUGCGCAUAAAUGUAAAAAUGUGGGGGAAAAAACGUUGGCGCUCAAAUGAGUCGGAUAAACUUUUCAUGUAAUGAAAUGCACAAAAACUACUGCAUUCCUAAAGAGCAUGCAUCUGCCUCCAAAAGCCGUGUUUGUGUUUCGUCUGUGGCUCAGGUAAUUUGUUAUACUAUAUACAGUAAUAUUUAUAUAUUAUUUAUAAAAAGCCAACCUACAGUUCUCCAAUGGCAGAAACUUUAAUUUCCCUUAGUAAUAUUUGCGACCAGUUUAUCAGGAAGUUAGGAAUUUGUCUUUUUGACCCACAAGAUGCUUUAUUCGCAAAUGUUUUAUGCGAUAUAACAAUUCUGUGCAUACAAGUUAAACUCAUAACUUUGGAUGGAAACAUAUGAAGAGUUUGGUUCCAAAACACGAUAAAGGCCAUUUUUUUGAUGAAUGAGUUUCCGCCAAAAUCAGUAUUGUAUCAGGCCGGUAUUGAAAAGUCACUUUUUAAUUUUACGCAAAAUGCGAUAUCCGCCGUGUUAUUCUGUCAUGUUCUCUCCCUUUUUUCCAAACCGCAAUAUACACCAGUCUCACUUCUCUGCAGAACGCAAUAUAUCCGCUCAACCAAUCACAGCACACCAUUCCACGCAUUGUAAUGGCAAGCUCACACUACGUGACUUUUGGCUUGAUUUUGCUGUCGCGGACAGAUUUCCAAGGUCGGGACCUUGAAACCUUCAGAUCGCGACCAAAACGGUGCUCGUUUUGGUCACGGAAGCUCUUUAAGUAUAACCAGGUGUGCAACGUGAUCUGGACCUGUCUCGAGCUAUCCCAGACACUACGAUAUUUUCAAACCUGUUUGAUAUUAUCGCCUAGUGAUCUCGUUGUGUGCGCGAUUGAAUGACCACGUGGAACUAAUCCAGCCAAUCGCAGUGCAGAUGAUAUAGGAGGAAAGAAGAUGAAAUUAAACGUAUUUUCGCUGAUUGUCAGGACCGCCUCUUCACCGAAUGUUUUGCGGUGUGUGCACCUCGUCAGCGGUGUGUUGUGUAGUAUGCGCGCAGCUAUGACAAGAUGAUGACAGAUGAGAAGGAACUUUGUUGUGUAGUGUAAGCGCCAUAGCAAUUCAAGUUGUCUCACAAGCCGGGUUUCCAUCCAAAGUUGCGAAUUUAGCUUAUGCACAAAAUUGGAAUAUCGCAUAAAACAUUUUCGAAUAAGCACCGUUUCCAUCCAAAUAGUCAACCGUCACUUCCUAAUAAACUGCCACUAAAUAUCAGUAAGAAAAGUAAGAGAAGCCACUGAAUAUAAUGAUUUUCAUAUAGAAUAAUACUUGCGCAAGCAGACGAUUAAGAAACACAAUAAAUGCGGUGCUUUUGUGGAGGCCUGCUGUUCGGGAAACACAGUCGUGACAGUUCUAAGAGGCAAUUACAGAAAUACUUGACAACUUUGCUCGGGCAUUUAAGAAUGACCAUAACAAUAUUUCUGAUGCUGUGUAACAAGAUCAGUACUCUGGUUUGUCAGGUUACGCCGUCUCAUAGUGCAAUUAUGUGACUUUUUGGAGGAAUUUAUUCGGCAAAUGUGUUUCCAUCUCCCAUUAUUCGCAUUAACCCUUUUUCGCAAAAAUGAAAAACCACCUCAAGCGAGCGUAAAAACUUUUUGCGAAUUAAGGGUUUUUAAUUCGAAAUUUGGCGUUUUCAUUACUCGUUUCUGAUGCGAAACUUCAAAAUGCGAUUAAAACCAGAGUGAUGGAAACCCGCUUACAGUCCCGUAGUGUCAGCUCGGCUUAAGCGCCAUAGCAAUUCAAGUUGUCUCACAAUCCCGUAGUGUCAGCUCGGCUUAAGCUAAUCGAAUAGCAAAUAGGAAAAGAAAAGGCAGCGUGGAAAUGGAAAUGCAAAUGGUAAAAGGAAUCGCCUUUUAAAUGACUGAUUAAAGUUGUUUAAUUUGUAAAUCCAAUUAUUUAUUCCUCUUUUUAAAUCGCAUUUUCAAAUACAUUUUGAAAUUCCACUAUUUAUUUAGGAAUUCAUUAAUGCACUUUAAAACGAUGUACUUAUUGAGUGUUUUAUGUUGAUUUUUUAAUUCCCUUUUUAAUUUGAAGUAUUUAUUGAUUGAUUAAUAUUUCAUUUAUUAAUUAUUUUUAUAAUCACACUUUUUAUUGCCCAUUAAAACGUUAAAUAAUGAAUGACUUUAUCAAUUUGCCUAUUUAUAUUUGGAUAAAUAAAUAAAGUUUUAAACAAAUGUAUUAAUGCCUAUUUUUAUUGUAGAAUUACUUAUUAAACUAUGAAAUGCUUUAUUACUUUACACAUGACUCUUCCGGUCCUCCAUAGUACUUGUGUUCAACAAACAAACAAAAAAAUGAAUAAUUUUGAUGGCAUUGAUGAACCUGUGCUGAUUUCUGCGGUGGGUAAGAAACGUAAGCCAUCGAAAUCUAAUAAUUUACGUGAGGAGAUUAAGAAAAUGAGGCACUAAUUUAUAGCAUUAAAAAGAUGACCCGUUGAAUUCAUUUUAGGAGCGAUGACUGAUUGAAUGUAUUUUUAGUCCAGUGCCUGUAUGUAAGAUCAGUAUUGUAUUGAGUUCAGAGGCUGUCAUAUGUGGAUCAACUCACUUUGUUGUGUAUUUUCAACAGUUUCAAUAUGAAAAAUAACUUGAUUGAAAAAUUGAUUCAAUGGAUUUAUUGCAUUUUUUUUUAUUGUCAUGGAUUUAUUGCAUUUUGGGGAAAAAAUGAUCAGUUUUUGUAAUAAAUCUUUUAAAAUCAAAAUCUGGAUUUGAUUUUUUUAAGUUACUAGAACCUAAAGAUGCUAUGUGAAACAUUAAAACAGAAAACGGUGGUUUUUAUCUUGCCACUUUAUUUGUAAAGAAAACACAUUUUUACUCAAAUUAAUCAAAAUGGAUUUAUAGUGUAUUGGAACCAAACUCUUCAUAUUGACUAUGUUACUUUGUAUGGAAUUUGUCAUACUGUUAUUGUUACCCAUGAAAUGAUAACAUUAACUUGAGAUUUUGAUUUUGUACUUUAUUCCUCUCGUGCAGAACUCACAAUGUACACAUUUUGUCUUUGUUGUUGUCGUUUAAUUUAGUUGAGAGUGUUUGUGCACAUGUAUGUGUGUGGUCAAACUGUAAAAACAAACAAUUUACAAGUACUAUCCAAUAUUGUUCACAUCAACAAAAUAAAAUAUCUACCAUCUUAACAUCAGCUUUAUAUAGUAAGCAUUAAAUUAUAUGCUUAUAAAUAAAAUAUAUAGUAAUCCCUAUAAUGCUAAUGUCACAUAUUUGCAUUAAGCAUGAUCACAUACGUGCUUCAAUCAACAAGACGUACUUCUAGAGUAAUCUCUGUUUCAUAAACGCAUAUUUAACCUCGUUUACCAGCUAAAUGCAACAUAUAUUGCAUGAAUAUUUUAACAAGCAAUAUAAAACAGUAAAUGUCUACACAAACAUCAAAACACAAGUGUAUUACAUUAUCCGUUUAGGCGCUAUGGCGCUAAUCACAAAUAGCGAUUUACAUAGCCACAUAUCAGAAACUAUAAAUAAACUUAAACCACAUAAGAACU